ensembl:lncRNA
CCCCACACACAUCUACAUACAGGAUCAGGUUGAAAUAGAUAAAACAAUGGUGUAUGUACAUGUUUUGGUUUUCUCCACUUAUGAGUCACUCAGUUCAAUAUCAAUCUGUCAUGCUAAAAAAGGGCUGAGUUGCAAAAUCGUACAGGAAAUAUGGUGCAUCACAAUAUCACUUUACAGCAUCGCAUGUGUAAUGGCUUGAACAUUGCUUCAAGUGGUCCAGAGAGAUCACUCUCAGCCAGGGGAGUAGCCAGGAGUUAAUUUCAAGAGGCGGGUGGAAAUGUACUAUACAACAUUAUAUUGUGAAAUGUGACAUGCUCAUGCUUUUUGGGUGGAUGCCGGACAGUAGGAGUAGGGGAAGCAUGCAUGAUUCUGAUUGGUUAAAUCUGGUGCUCGCAAUAGCAUUAAAAUGUUAAUAAACAAACUCAGGCUAUUUGAGUAUGAAAUUGUAAUGGAAUCUUUUAUGAACAUCAUUACAUACAACAUAACUUGAUGCGUAUAUAUAUUCAGUUAUAAGCACCCACAAGUAAGCAUUUGGAACUGAUAUAAAAUAUUUCAGGGGGGUUCAAACCCAAAAUCCAGCCCUCUAGCGACGCCUCAGCUCUCAGUCAACAUCAGUUUAUUAAAAGCACUGCUUUCUCUCUUUUAUACCUGUUUUUUCUUAACAAAAGGAGGCUUAGGCUACUUAUGCAUGUGAUUUGUGAGAUCAAAUCGUAGCCAGGUGUCUGAAAGAGAGCAUUACUGUCCGGCUCGCUGUGUGGGAACGACAGCCUUUCUCCCUCGACCUGUCAAUCAGUGUGACAUGAGGAAACUUGUUCAACUUCACCCUCUCUGAAUGGUAGCUGUGAGACUGGCUAUGACUGAACUGGAGAAGAAAAUUCCCGUUUUUCCAGUUCCCGUUAUUCAUGUUCCUGUUUUACAUGUUAUAGAACAGAGAUUGAUUAAUGGCACAUGUCAUUACGUCCCCACACCACGCCAUCCGACGUUCCCUCCAGAAUUUCGAAAUACAGUUCGUCUUCGUUAUGGUACCGUAUACAGUUUUGGGUGUUUUUUAUUUAAAAUUUUACAAAAGCUUCAAGUGCAGUUAAUUAUUUGUCAUGCUAUACGUGCAAUUGGACGACUGCUUGAAGCCGUGGGCUGCGUCCAAAACCACGUACUUACCUGCUAUAUAGUAGCUGAGAUACAUGUAUUUCACCUACUAUAUGCAUGUAUUUCACCUACUAUUUAGUAGGUGAAAUACUUGUAUAUAGUAGGUGAAAUACUUGUAUAUAGCAGGUGAAAUACAUGUAUAUAGUAGGUGAAAUACAAGUUUUUUGGCUACGAUAUAGUAGGUGAAAUACUUGUAUAUAGUAGAAUAAGUGUAUAUAGUAGGUAAAAUACAUGAAUAUAGUAGGUGAAAUACAUGUAUAUAGUAGGUGAAAUACAUGUAAGUAGUAGGUGAAAUACAUGUAUAUAGUAGAAUACGUGUAUAUAGUAGGUGAAAUACACAUGUUUUGGCUACUAUAUAGUAGGUGAAAUACAUGUAUGUAGUACAAUACGUGUAUAUAGUAGGUGAAAUACUUGUACAUAGUAGGUGAAAUACAUGUAUAUAGUAGAAUACGUGUAUAUAGUUGGUGAAAUACUUGUAUAUAUUAGGUGAAAUACACGUAUUUCGGCUACAAUAUAGUAGAUGAAAUACAUGUAUAUGGUAGAAUACAUGUAUAUAGUAGGUGAAAUACAUGUAUAUAGUGGAAUACGUGUAUAUAGUAGGUGAAAUACACGUUUUUUGGUUACGAUAUAGUAGGUGAAAUACAUGUAUAUAGUAGAAUAUGUGUAUAUAGUAGGUGAAAGACAUGUAUAUAGUAGGUGAAAUACACGUAUUUCGGCUACGAUAUAGUAGGUGAAAUACAUGUAUAUAGUAGAAUACAUGUAUAUAGUAGGUACAAUACAUGUAUAUAGUAGAAUAUGUGUAUAUAGUAGGUACAAUACAUGUAUAUAGUAGAAUAUGUGUAUAUAGUAGGUGAAAGACAUGUAUAUAGUAGGUGAAAUACACGUAUUUCGGCUACGAUAUAGUAGGUGAAAUACAUGUAUAUAGUAGAAUACAUAUAUAUAGUAGGUAAAAUACAUGUAUAUAGUAGAAUACGUGUAUAUAGUAGGUGAAAUACAUGUAUUUCGGCUACGAUAUAGUAGAUGAAAUACAUGUAUAUGGUAGAAUACAUGUAUAUAGUAGGUGAAAUACAUGUAUAUAGUAGAAUACGUGUAUAUAGUAGGUGAAAUACAUGUAUAUAGUAGGUGAAAUACAUGUAUAUAGUAGAAUACGUGUAUAUAGUAGGUGAAAGACAUGUAUAUAGUAGAAUACGUGUAUAUAGUAGGUGAAAGACAUGUAUAUAGUAGGUGAAAUACAUGUAUUUCGGCUACGAUAUAGUAGAUGAAAUACAUGUAUAUGGUAGAAUACAUGUAUAUAGUAGGUGAAAUACAUGUAUAUAGUAGAAUACGUGUAUAUAGUAGGUGAAAUACAUGUAUAUAGUAGGUGAAAUAUACGUAUUUCGGCUACGAUAUAGUAGGUGAAAUACAUGUAUAUAGUAGAAUACAUGUAUAUAGUAGGUACAAUACAUGUAUAUAGUAGAAUACGUGUAUAUAGUAGGUGAAAUACAUGUAAGUAAUAGGUGAAAUACAUGUAUAUAGUAGGUGAAACACACGUAUUUCAGCUACGAUAUAGUAGGUGAAAUACAUGUAUAUGGUAGAAUAUAUGUAUAUAGUAGGUGAAAUACAUGUAUAUAGUUUUUGAAAUACUUGUAUAUAUUAGGUGAAAUACACGUAUUUCGGCUACAAUAUAGUAGGUGAAAUACAUGUAUAUGGUAGAAUACAUGUAUAUAGUAGGUGAAAUACAUGUAUAUAGUAGGUGAAAUACAUGUAUAUAGUAGAAUACGUGUAUAUAGUAGGUGAAAUACAUGUCAGUAAUAGGUGAAAUACAUGUAUAUAGUAGGUGAAACACACGUAUUUCGGCUACGAUAUAGUAGGUAAAAUACAUGUAUAUGGUAGAAUACAUGUAUAUAGUAGGUGAAAUACAUGUAUAUGGUAGAAUACGUGUAUAUAGUAUGUGAAAUACAUGUAUAUAGUAGGUGAAAUACUUGUAUAUAGUAGGUGAAAUAAAUGUAUAUAGUAGAAUACAUGUAUAUAGUAGGUGAAAUACCUGUAUAUAGUAGAAUACGUGUAUAUAGUAGGUGAAAUACACGUAUAUGGUAAAUACAUGUAUAUAGUAGGUGAAAUACAUGUAUAUAGUAGGUGAAGUACAUGUAUAUGGUAGAAUACGUGUAUAUAGUAGGUGAAAUACUUGUAUAUAGUAGAAUACGUGUAUAUAGUAGGUGAAAUACUUGUAUAUAGUAGGUGAAAUACAUGUAUAUGGUAAAAUACAUGUAUAUAGUAGGUGAAAUACUUGUAUACCGUAUGUGAAAUACUUGUAUGUAGUAGGUGAAAUACAUGUAUAUAGUAGAAUACGUGUAUAUAGUAGGUGAAAUACAUGUAUAUAGUAGAAUACGUCUAUAUUGUAGGUGAAAUACAUGUAAAUAGUAGAAUACGUGUAUAUAGUAGGUGAAAUACAUGUUUAUAGUAGGUGAAAUACACGUAUUUCGGCUACGAUAUAGUAGGUGAAAUACAUGUAUAUAGUAGAAUACGUGUAUAUAGUAGGUGAAAUACAUGUAUAUAGUAGGUGAAAUACAUGUAUAUAGUAGAAUACAUGUAUAUAGUAGGUGAAAUACAUGUAUAUAGUAGGUGAAAUACUUGUAUAUUAGGUGAAAUACUUGUAUAUGCAAGCAUUUCACUUGCUAUAUACAAGUAUCUCGUCAGCAAAAACUUCCCCAUAUCAACAGAUACACGUUCUGUAAAGCCGUUUAUGUGGAGUGUCUAGCCUACAAAUCCCUGCGCAGAUUGUAUCUAAAGAAACAGUGACAAUCUACAGCAAUAAUAUAAACCUGUAAUUUGCCUUGUAGCCCGAGCUACUGUCAAAGCUGCGGUUAUAGAAAAUAAAUCUCAACACCUUCCGACCAAUCGGAUUUGAGAUUUCGACAGGGCUAUAAUAAUGUAAUAAUAAUCAGGUUUCGUCGUGUGUCUUAGUAAUGAUAUAUCGACUCAGCCCUAGUUCGGUUUUCCGUUUUCGUUUAAUGCUCUUAGCAUACCAGUGUGGUUCAUUAUAAUGUGCCAUCCAAACACUGUCAUAAAGUUUUUGGCUAUGGAUGGCUCACAGCACUGGGAAGUGAUGUGUAUGUGUGUGUGUGUGUAUGUGUGUGUGUGUGUGUGUUAAUUAGAGGUCGUGCAGGGAGAGAGGCUUGAGAUUCCACACACUCAAGGCCUCUGAAUCAAACAACCUGGUGCUUUUUGGUGGUUUUUUUUGCACUUUCAUGCCAACUGGUAUCAAUCCAGCACCAGUGGAGCAAAAUGCUCAGGACACGGUCUUUAUAAUGAGG